CCUACGGGGAGCAGCAGUGGGGAAUAUUGGACAAUGGGCGAAAGCCUGAUCCAGCCAUGCCGCGUGUGUGAAGAAGGCCUUCGGGUUGUAAAGCACUUUCAGUAGGGAAGAAAGCCUUGGGGCUAAUACCCUCGAGGAAGGACAUCACCCACAGAAGAAGCACCGGCUAACUCCGUGCCAGCAGCCGCGGUAAUACGGAGGGUGCGAGCGUUAAUCGGAAUUACUGGGCGUAAAGCGCGCGUAGGCGGUCUGAUAAGCCGGUUGUGAAAGCCCCGGGCUCAACCUGGGAACGGCAUCCGGAACUGUCAGGCUAGAGUGCAGGAGAGGAAGGUAGAAUUCCCGGUGUAGCGGUGAAAUGCGUAGAGAUCGGGAGGAAUAUCAGUGGCGAAGGCGGCCUUCUGGACUGACACUGACGCUGAGGUGCGAAAGCGUGGGUAGCAAACAGGAUUAGAUACCCGAGUAGUC
rnacentral:rRNA from 1 species